UACGGAGGUGGCAAGCGUUGUUCGGAAUUACUGGGCGUAAAGGGCGCGUAGGCGGCCUUCUAAGUCAGACGUGAAAUCCCUCAGCUUAACUGGGGAACUGCGUCUGAUACUGGCGAGCUUGAGUGCAGGAGAGGAACGCGGAAUUCCAGGUGUAGCGGUGAAAUGCGUAGAUAUCUGGAGGAACACCGGUGGCGAAGGCGGCGUUCUGGACUGCAACUGACACUGAUGAACGAAAGCCAGGGGAGCAAACGGG
rnacentral:rRNA from 1 species